UACAGAGGUCUCAAGCGUUGUUCGGAUUCAUUGGGCGUAAAGGGCGCGUAGGCGGCGGGGUAAGUCGGGUGUGAAAUCUCAGAGCUCAACUCUGAAACUGCACUCGAUACUGCUUUGCUAGAGGACUGGAGAGGAGAUUGGAAUUCACGGUGUAGCAGUGAAAUGCGUAGAGAUCGUGAGGAAGACCAGUGGCGAAGGCGGGUCUCUGGACAGUUCCUGACGCUGAGGCACGAAGGCCAGGGGAGCAAACGGG
rnacentral:rRNA from 1 species